GGGCAAGCGUUAUCCGGAAUUAUUGGGCGUAAAGAGUGCGUAGGUGGUUGUGUAAGCGAGAGGUUUAAGGCAGUGGCUUAACCACUGUUCGCCUUGCGAACUGCAUAACUUGAGUGCAGGAGGGGAAAGCGGAAUUCCUAGUGUAGCGGUGAAAUGCGUAGAUAUUAGGAGGAACACCAGCGGCGAAGGCGGCUUUCUGGACUGCAACUGACACUGAGGCACGAAAGCGUGGGGAGC
rnacentral:rRNA from 1 species